rnacentral:rRNA from 1 species
AGCGAACGCUGGCGGCAGGCCUAACACAUGCAAGUCGAACGAACCUUUCGGGGUUAGUGGCGGACGGGUGAGUAACACGUGGGAACGUGCCUUUAGGUUCGGAAUAACUCAGGGAAACUUGUGCUAAUACCGAAUGUGCCCUUCGGGGGAAAGAUUUAUCGCCUUUAGAGCGGCCCGCUUCUGAUUAGCUAGUUGGUUGAGGUAAUGGCUCACCAAGGCGACGAUCAGUAGCUGGUCUGAGAGGAUGAUCAGCCACAUUGGGACUGAGACACGGCCCAAACUCCUACGGGAGGAAGCAGAGGGGAAUCUGGCGCAAUGGGCGAAAGCCUGACGCAGCCAUGCCGAGGGAAUGAGGAAGGUCUUAGGAUUGUAAAAUUCUUUCACCGGGGACGAUAAUGACGGUACCCGGAGAAGAAGCCCCGGCUAACUUCGUG